rnacentral:rRNA from 1 species
UACGUAGGGUCCGAGCGUUGUCCGGAAUUACUGGGCGUAAAGAGCUCGUAGGCGGUUUGUCGCGUUGUUCGUGAAAACUCACAGCUCAACUGUGGGCGUGCGGGCGAGACGGGCAGACUAGAGUACUGCAGGGGAGACUGGAAUUCCUGGUGUAGCGGUGGAAUGCGCAGAUAUCAGGAGGAACACCGGUGGCGAAGGCGGGUCUCUGGGCAGUAACUGACGCUGAGGAGCGAAAGCGUGGGGAGCAAACAGG